UCCGAAUUUUUUGGCGAGUUUUACGAGUAGCGGUUGUGCUAACAUAAAAUUCUGUUAUGUCGGCAAUCACCAGCACAGCAAAUGGGGUAUCAAUGGAAAGCGUAGACAAUGUAUGUUACGACUAGCAUGUUAGGUUCCCAUUAAGCGUCAUUAGUGUUUAUACCAAAAU